UACGAAGGGGGCUAGCGUUGUUCGGAAUUACUGGGCGUAAAGGGCGCGUAGGCGGUCUGUUGCGUCCGCUGUGAAAACUCGGGGCUUAACCCCGAGCCUGCAGUGGAUACGGGCAGACUAGAGGUAGGUAGGGGAGAAUGGAAUUCCCGGUGUAGCGGUGAAAUGCGCAGAUAUCGGGAGGAACACCGGUGGCGAAGGCGGUUCUCUGGGCCUUACCUGACGCUGAGGAGCGAAAGCGUGGGGAGCGAACAGG
rnacentral:rRNA from 1 species